UUUUGAGGACUGAGUGUCUCUGCAGAGAUGGCUGUGGGCUUCUUUGGAUGCAUCGAAGGCCUUGUGAGAGAUGCUGGCUCUUAUGGCAGGAGCAGGUUCUGCCCCUUGCCUACUUUUCCUGGGCGGUCUUCUCUAUCUCCAGGGAGCCAGGGAAGCCCAGACCCCACACAGAGAGGGGAAUCAGGGAGGAACUCCCAGAAGGAGGUGGCUUGCAGGCAGAGAAGCCAGACUCAGUCCUGGUGCUGCUGCAACAGAGGAAGCAGGGGACACCGGAGCCUUGAGAAGGCAUCUCGGAGAGUGAGGGGCUCUCCUGACUGCCUCAGACAGAAAGGACAUGCAGGGAGAGAAGCUACAUGCGAUGGAAGCCAACACAGGAGGGCAGGACUGAGAGAUGGGAGGACAUUCCUGACAAAAAUUAUCUCAACACCUAAAUUCACCUGUGCCUGAAGUCAACCACUCCCAGACUUUCUCGUUAGGCAAAGCAAUACAAUCUUUCGAUUUGUGUAUGCUUGUUACUCUGUGUGGAGUUUCUAAGACCUGCAACCACAAAAGUCCUGCUUCAUUGAAGAUCUUGGCUGAAACACCUCAGAGGAGCCUUCCCUGGUCACUUUACGCUCUGGUCUAAAUGUUUAUGUCCCCCCCGUCAAAUGCAUAUGUUGAAAUCCUAACCCUGAAGGUGAUGGCAUUAGGAGGCAGGGCCUUUGGGAGGAGAUUAGGUCGUGAGGAUGAACCCCUCAUGAAUGGGAUUAGUGCUUCCACAAAAGAGACCCCAGAGAGCUCCCUCACCCCUCCACCAUAUGAGGACACAGAGACGGCUGUCUGUGAAACAAGAAAUGGGCUCUCACCAGACGCCAAAUCUGCCAGCACCUUGAUCUUGGACUUCCAGCCUCGAGAACGGUGAGAAAGAAGUUUCUGUUGUUUAGAAGCCCCCAGCCUCUGGUAUUUUUGCUAUAGCAGCCUGAACAGACAAGGACUCCCUUUAUGAAAUGCUCCCCAACUUUGUUCCCC
rnacentral:lncRNA from 1 species